AGAAAAGAGAAAGAAAAAGAAGAAAAUCAUCUUUUCAAAACAUUUUUCCAUAACCAACCGGACUUCCCCGUCCCCCUCACCUUGCGUUCUUUACAAUAAAAUUUUUCAGCAAAUUAUAACCUUAUUUCGUGCAUUCUUUUGUUCUUUCAAAUACUUGUGAUUUGCGUUUAAAAUGCUUAUUGUCAAUUUACACUAAUAAUAUAUAUAAUGUUCUUUUAAACGUUAGUCCUUUCAUUAAUAUAGCUUAGUUUCCCAUACCUUAAUCUUAUUGCUGGAGCUGAAUUUCCCUAAUCAUGCGAAUUCUUAACAUUCAUAUAACUUAUAAAAUUUUUGUAAAUAAUCUUUAAAUUUUUUCCAAUCCUCCUCCAUUGCUUCUUCCUCCAAAUCUCGGAUCCUGGCAGUCAUCUCGGCCAAUUCCAUGUAACCCAUCAAUUGCGUCUGCCACUCUUCCAGUGUGGGUAAAUCUUGAGUCUUCCAGUAUUUUGCGAUAAGAAUUCUUGCUGCUGUAGUUGCAUACAUAAAAAGGUUCUAUCCUUCUUUAACACCUUCUGACCGACAAUGCCCAGUAGGAAGGCCUCUGGUUUCUUGGGAAAAGUGUACUUAAACACUUUUUUUAACUCGUUAUAGAUCAUUUCCCAGAAGGCCUUCACUUUUGGGCAAGUCCACCAGAGGUGAAAGAAUGUCCCUUCAGCCUCCUUACAUUUCCAACAUUUAUUAUCAGACAAAUGAUAUAUCUUAGCAAGCUUGACUGGGGUCAUGUACCACCUAUAUAUCAUUUUCAUAAUAUUCUCUUUCAAGGCAUUACAUGCCGUGAAUUUCAUACCAGUGGUCCAUAACCUUUCCCAGUCUUCAAACAUAAUGUUGUACCCAAUGUCCUGAGCCCAUUUUAUCAUGGCUGAUUUGACUGUCUCAUCCUGAGUGUUCCAUUUAAGCAGCAAGAUAUACAUUCUCGAAAGUACCUUAGUCUUUGGUUCCAACAAUUCUGUCUCUAGUUUCGAUUUUUCCACCUGGAAACCUGUUCUUUUGUCCAGCUUAAAAACCUCUUGAAUUUGAGCAUAGUGAAGCCAAUUUUGCACCUUAUUCUUUAAUUUUUCAUAACUCUGCAGCCUCCAAGUUUCUCCUACUUUUCUAUAAUUUCCCCAUAUUUCAGCCAACCAACCUCCAUAUUAGGUUUUUCCGGGCCUUGGCCUCUGCUGGUGAAAGCCACCUCGGAGUCUUACCCUCUAAUAAGUCCUUGUAUUUUGUCCAGACCAUAAAUAUUGAUUUUCUAACAAUAUGAUUUUUGAACAUUUUAUGAACCUUUACCUUGUCGUACCACA